AUCAUAGGUUUUUAGAAGAGGCCUUUAAUGAAUGGACUCUNNUUANNNNNGGAUUAGAAAAUGGGGCAAGGUCAAGCUUCNNAACAGNGNNNGGACACCUGAGCAGAUUACACNNNNNAUUAUGUAUGGAAAAAAAUACAAAGCCCCUAAUAAGGUUAAUCCCGGCAAUACUGCAACGCGCUACGAGUACGAAGGGCGAUUUAUUGUACAAGAUGAUAAAACAAAUGAGGUUCUACAGGUUAGUGGAAAGAGUUUUGCACCCAAUAAAUUACCGUANAGGAUAGAAACAUGACUGAGAAACAUAUUGAAGUUUACGUANCACUUCUUGAAGAAGGAACAGACACAAUUAGGGCUACACAAUCANNNGAUAUGGGCAAUGGCAUCGUUAANCUUUUGCCAACGCCUUGGUACGACCCUGAAGAUGAAAUUUGGGAAUUUCUUCCAGGCACGGUUGUGCGCAUAAAAAAAGCUCAUGAUUUUCACGGAAACGAGGUGCUUCUUGCUUAUGAGAAAGCCGAUAUAGAGUACGAAUGGGGAAACCC
rnacentral:rRNA from 1 species